UCACGGAUGUUGCGAACGUGGGGAAAAUGGGGGGGGGGGUGAGGGAGAUGCGAGAAGGCGGUGUGAGCCACGCUAAAUAACAUGACCCUGCCCAAUCAGGGGAGAGAAAGUAAU